rnacentral:tRNA from 3 species
GGGGAUCUAGCUCAUCGGUAGAGCGCUCGCUUAGCAUGCGAGAGGCGCAGGGUUCGACUCCCUGGUUCUCCA